ensembl:lncRNA
GCCUAAUGAACAAUGGGCUCUUGUGAGAAUCGGAGAGAGGGGGGAUAAACUGAUGAUGUCAUGUUCAGUUUAUAACCUGUGGAAAAAUGUGUAUGCUUCAGUACUCUCUGGAAUUAAACGCUCUUACCUGGCUUUUAAGACUGGUCUCGAUCUACUUCAUGCAUAAUUAAUGAACUUACACAUCAUUAAUGAAUUAGACACGAGUGCGAAAUUGGUUUUGGCAAUUAAAACAAAAGGAAUUUAGAAUUCCUCUAUCAACUACACCUGUUGUAUUCUGCAUUUCACUAUCAGGUCUACUACACCUGUUGUAUUCAGCAUUUCACUGUAAGGUCUACUACACCUGUUGUAUUCAGCAUUUCACUGUGAGGUCUACUACACCUGUUAUAUUCUGCAUUUCACUGUGAGGUCUACUACAUCUGUUGUAUUCUGCAUUUCACUGUGAGGUCUACUACACCUGUUGUAUUCAGCAUUUCACUGUAAGGUCUACUACACCUGUUGUAUUCAGCAUUUCCCUAUCAGGUCUACUACACCUGUUGUAUUCAGCAUUUCACUGUGAGGUCUACUACACCUGUUGUAUUCAGCAUUUCACUGUAAGGUCUACUACACCUGUUGUAUUCAGCAUUUCACUGUAAGGUCUACUACACCUGUUGUAUUCAGCAUUUCACUGUAAGGUGAAGGUUGUAUUCGGCACACGUGACAAAUAAACUUUGAUUUGAUUUGUAGUUACUCACUGUUCUAAAUCGCUCUGCAUAAGAGCGUAUGUUAAAUGGCCUAGCUCUCACAUUAUUGAAUCAUUUUUCUAAAGAGAUUGAGUCCGGUGGAGAACUAUUUAUUUAUUACUGAACAUAAGUACAAACGUAACAUGUGUCCCAUGGUUCAUGAGCUGAAAUAAAAGAUUAUAGAAAUGUUCCAUUCGCACAAAAAGUUUAUUUCUCUAAAAUGUUGUGCACAAAUUUGUUUACAUCCCUGUUAGUGAGCAUUUCUCUUUUGCCAAGAUAAUCCGUCCAUCUGACAGGUGUGGCAUAUCAAGAAGCUGAUUAAACAGCAUGAUCAUUACACAGGUGUACCUUGUGCUGGGGACCCAUAAAAGGCUACUAAAAAGGUGCAGUUUUGUCAAACAACACAAUGCCACAGAUGUCUCAAGUUUCCAGAGAGUGUGCAAUUGGCAUGCUGACUGCAGGAAUGUCCACAAGAGCUGUUGACAGAGAAUUUAAUGUUAAUUUCUCUACCAUAAGCCACCUCCCACGUCGUUUAGAGAAUUUGGCACUACGUCCAACCGGCCUCACAACCACAGGCCAGGUGUAACCACGUCAACCCAGGACCUCCACACCCGGCUUCUUCACCUGCUGGAUCAUCUGAGAUCAGCCACCCAGACAGCUUGAUAAAACUGAGGAGUACUUAUGUCUGUAAUAAAGCCCUUUUGUGGGGAAAAACUCAUUCUGAUUGGCUGGGCCUGCCCUCCCAGGCUGCACCUCUGCCCAGUCAUGGGAAAUCCAUAGAUUAGGG